GACGAACGCUGGCGGCGUGCCUAAUACAUGCAAGUUGAGCGAUGAAGAUUGGUGCUUGCCCCAAUUUGAAGAGCAGCGAACGGGUGAGUAACGCGUGGGGAAUCUGCCUUUGAGCGGGGGACAACAUUUGGAAACGAAUGCUAAUACCGCAUAACAACUUUAAACAUAAGUUUUAAGUUUGAAAGAUGCAAUUGCAUCACUCAAAGAUGAUCCCGCGUUGUAUUAGCUAGUUGGUGAGGUAAAGGCUCACCAAGGCGAUGAUACAUAGCCGACCUGAGAGGGGGAGCGGCAGCGUUGGGACUGAGACAGGGCACAAAGACCGUCGGGAGGCAGCAGGAGGGAAUCUUGAGGAAUGGACGCAAGUCAGACCGAGCAACGCCGGGGGAGGGAGGAAGGUGUGCGGGUCGUAAAACUCGGUUGGUAGAGAAGAACGGGGGUGAGAGUGGAAAGCUCAUCAAGUGAGGGUAACUACCCAGAAAGGGACGGCUAACUACGUG
rnacentral:rRNA from 1 species